rnacentral:lncRNA from 1 species
AGGACUUCGGGCACUCACACGGUGCUUUGGCUUUAGCGAUUCGACCAAUUACACAAUGCUUUCGCUUCAAGGCUUCAGCCACUUACACAGUGCCUUAGCUUCAGGGUUUCGAUCACUUACACAAUGCUUCCACUUCAGGGUUUUGGCCAUUUAUAGAGUGCUUCAGCUUCAGGGCUUCGGCCACUUACACGGUACUUCCACUUCAGCACUUCUGCUUUAGGGCUUCGGCCACUAACAUUGUGCUUCAAUUUCAAGAUUUUGGCCACUUACACAGUGCUUUCACUUCAGGGUUUCAGCUACUAUGUAGAUUUAGAGUUUCUGUCACUUACACAGUGCUUCCACUUUAAGACUUCAACUGCUUACACAUUGCUUCAGCUUUAGGGCCUUUUGAGCCUUGGUUUAGGCGUGGACUUCUUCCCGAGCCUCAACGUUGAGGCAUGGGCUUCUUCUUGAGCCUCGGUUUUGAGGCUUGGGCUUCUUUAUGAAACCGAGGCUCGGGCUUCUUUAUGAGCCUCGAUUUUGAAGCAUAACAGUUUUAUUAUAAGGUGGAAAUAUUGACUUUUUCCAUGAGAAGUCCCCACUUAAUUUAUUUAUUUAUGUAUAUAAAUAAAAAUAUAGAAAACUUUCCAAUACAUACUACUUGUCAUAUUCUUAAUUUCUUUUAGAGGAUUGAGUCAAAAUUGUUGUAACAAUCGAAA